GGAUUCGUCUGAUCAAGUGAUAUCUUAGUGGCGGACGGGUGAGUAACGCGUGGAGAACCUGCCUCUUUCCGGGGGAUAGCAGUUGGAAACGACUGGUAAUACCGCAUGAGCGCACGGUACCGCAUGGUAUAGUGUGAAAAGAUUUAUCGGGGAGAGAUGGCUCCGCGUCUGAUUAGCCAGUUGGCGGGGUAACGGCCCACCAAAGCGACGAUCAGUAGCCGGCCUGAGAGGGCGGACGGCCACAUUGGGACUGAGACACGGCCCAGACUCCUACGGGAGGCAGCAGUGGGGGAUAUUGCACAAUGGGGGGAACCCUGAUGCAGCGACGCCGCGUGAGUGAAGAAGUGUUUCGACAUGUAAAGCUCUAUCAGCAGGGAAGAAAGGCCCUUUAAGGGAGAUGACGGUACCUGACUAAGAAGCCCCGGCUAACUACGUGCCAGCAGCCGCGGUAAUACGUAGGGGGCAAGCGUUAUCCGGAUUUACUGGGUGUAAAGGGAGCGCAGACGGCAAUGCAAGUCUGAUGUGAAAACCCGGGGCUUAACCCCGGGCCUGCAUUGGAAACUGUAUAGCUGGAGUAUCGGAGAGGUGAGCGGAAUUCCUGGUGUAGCGGUGAAAUGCGCAGAUAUCAGGAAGAACACCGGCGGCGAAGGCGGCUCACUGGACGACAACUGACGUUGAGGCUCGAAAGCGUGGGUAGCAAAC
rnacentral:rRNA from 1 species